AGUGAACGCUGGCGGUAGGCCUAACACAUGCAAGUCGAACGGCAGCACAGUAAGAGCUUGCUCUUACGGGUUGCGAGUGGCGGACGGGUGAGGUAUACACCGGAAUCUACUUUUUCGUGGGGGAUAACGUAGGGAAACUAACGCUAAUACCGCAUAAGACCUAAAGGUGAAAGCAGGGGAUCUUCGGACCUUGCGCGAUUGACUGAGCCGAUGUCGGAUUAGCUAGUUGGCGGGGUAAAGGCCCACCAAGGCGACGAUCCGUAGCUGGUCUGAGAGGAUGAUCAGCCACACUGGAACUGAGACACGGUCCAGACUCCUACGGGAGGCAGCAGUGGGGAAUAUUGGACAAUGGGCGCAAGCCUGAUCCAGCCAUGCCGCGUGUGUGAAGAAGGCCUUCGGGUUGUAAAGCCCUUUUGUUGGGAAAGAAAAGCAGCAGGUUAAUACCCCGCUGUUCUGACGGUACCCAAAGAAUAAGCACCGGCUAACUUCGUG
rnacentral:rRNA from 1 species